UACGUAGGUGACAAGCGUUGUCCGGAUUUACUGGGCGUAAAGAGCGCGCAGGCGGUCGUUCAAGUCGAGUGUGAAAGCCCCCGGCUCAACUGGGGAGGGUCACUCGAUACUGAUCGACUCGAAGGCAGGAGGGGGUAGUGGAAUUCCCGGUGUAGUGGUGAAAUGCGUAGAGAUGUGGAGGAAUACCGAUGGCGAAGGCAGCCUCCUGGGCCAACACUGACGCUCAUGCACGAAAGCGUGGGGAGCAAACAGG
rnacentral:rRNA from 1 species